UUUUCAUGAAGUUGGGGUUUUACCAUUUUGGCUGGCUGGUCUUGAACUCCUGACCUCAGGUGAUCCACCCACCUUGGCCUCCUGAAGUGCUGGGAUUACAGACCUGAGCCACAGCACCCGGCCUUGGUGGUGGUCUUAUUGAAGGGGAAACGCUUUUUGAAAUCAAUAGGAUGAAGGUUUUUUAAAAACAAUGAAGUCUUAAAUCAUUAGAUUUUAAAGUGGGGUCUGGAGGUGGAAGACAGCUUAUUUCUGCUGUGUAACAUUUAGUACUUAACCAUACAUAAUUAUCAAUGCAAGUUUUUUGUCCUAGGUGCAAGAUUAUAUUUAUUUGAGAGUAUCAGGUGAACAAGUUUACAUUUAAAGGCGAGAAUUGUGUUAAGCAUUUGGUAUUGACAUUAUAGUUUUAGUAAAACCAUCAAGUUAUCUCGAUAGAGUUUGAAACUAAGCUCUUUGGUGGACUGCUACUGUUUAUUAAGUAGGUAUCACAUUUCUAUAGCAAGACAUAGUUGAGUUUUGUAAAUCUACUUGUAUUUUGAAGGAUUGAAUUGUGAAAAUUAUUUGUCUUUUGGCAAUCUUUCUGAAUAGAGAGCGUGCAUGAGCAAGUUUGCAUUGCAAUUAAUAGGUGAAAAUUGCUGAGCACCUAAGUAACCAAAAAGGAGGUGAUGAAUUAGGUUACAGAAUUAGUUUUGUCCACCCUUUACCUGUCUACUCCAUUAUUUGAUUUUUGGCAGCAUUCAGCAUGCUUUUUCUGUAAAGGACCAGUAAAUAGUAAUUAUUUUAGGCUUUGUGGCCAGGAUGCAAAAUUGAAGAUAUUAUGUAGGUACUUAAUAUUAAAAGAAAGAAAAAAUUUACAGUUUUUUAAAAUUUCAGUCCAAAAUGUCAAUCUGUAAAUUUUUUGUUGAUAAAAAUACAACAAUAUAAGAUACAACAUUUUGUAAUACAGGCCUACUAAUGAGAAAUGAGAAUUUUAUUUUUGUGAGGGUAGGGGAGAUAACACUUAGCUGAAUUGGGGUUCAGAGUUAGUGUUUUCUAUAAUCAAAUCAAUUGCUAAUGUUUAUCUGUAAAAACCAUUCUUACCUUCCAGGCUGUACAAAAACAGGCGAUAGGCCAGAUUUGACCAUGGUCCAUACUUUCCCCACCCUUGAUUUAUUCUAUAAAACUAGUAGAAUUCGACUAACUGUUUUGUUUCAUCAAAGCUUUUUUUUUUUUUUUUUUUUGAGACAGAGUCUUGCUCUGUCGUCUAGGCUGGAGUGCCGUGGUGCAAUUUCGGCUCACUGCAAUCUUCGCCUCCCAAGUUCAAGCAAUUCUGCCUCAGCCUCCUGAGUAGCUGGGAUUACAGGCGUGUGGCACUACGCCCAGCUAAUUUUUGUAUUUUUAGUAGAGACAGGGUUUCACCAUGUUGGUCAGGCUGGUCUCAAACUCCUGACCUCAUGAUCCGCCUGCCUUGGCCUCCCAAAGUGCUGGGAUUACAGUCGUGAGCCACCGUCCCUGGCCAUCAAAGCAUUUUUAAUAUAGAAGGUCAGUUGAGUUGCUGCCUAGGAUGCAACCUGAUCUUAAUUUACAAAGUAAUUAAAUUAUUAUAAAAUAAGUUUGCAUUCAUAGAUUAAAAAGUACACAUUUAUUUUAUUAUUAUUAUAAUUUUUUGAGAUGGAGUUUCGCUCUUGUUGCCCAGGCUGGAGUGCAAUGGUGCAAUCUUGGCUCACUGCCACUUCCACCUCCUGGGUUCAAGUGAUUCUCCUGCCUCAGCCUCCCGAGUAACUGGGAUUAGAGGCAUGCGCCACCAUGCCUGGCUAAUUUUGUAUUUUUAGGAGAGAUGGAGUUUCUCCAUGUUGGUCAGGCUGGUCUCGAACUCCCGACCUCAGGUGAUCUGCCCACCUCAGAAUCCCAAAGUGCUAGGAUUACAGGUGUGAACCACCACGUCCUGCUAAAAAGUACACAUUUAAAAUCUAAGUUCCAUUUUCCCGUCAUGUUUAUUAAUUUGUCCCAUUGCAAGAUAUGUUUCUGUUGUCUGCAUGGGUAGAGAUAAUUUUAAAAGCUUGGUUAAGUAAAAACUGAUUUUCUUAAUUAUUGCCCUUUAGGUUAAAAAAAAAAAAA
rnacentral:lncRNA from 1 species